UGCCCAGCAACUCCUAUCCCUACCUCCUCGUAGUACUGGCCGGGGUACGAGUAACCCUGGGGAAGAUCGGGUAACCAACCCCCUGUGGGAACUUUGGUCGUAUGCUGACAGGGAAGG
rnacentral:ribozyme from 1 species